ensembl:lncRNA
ACGACUUUCUGUGUUUAAUUAUAAGCAACACAGACUGGUCUGAGCUUGCAUCACCUAUUGGACACUAACCUGAUGUAUAAUCCAAGGCAACCACUUACCUGUACUUCGGAUUCUUCACAUGUAAAUAAUCCCAUUCUUCUCUUUUCUGAGGACGUAGAGGAUACCUCUCCACAUCUGUCCCCAUCCAAUUGUAUGCACAAGCUCACAUUGAAAGCUCCUCCAGAAAUACCUUCACAGACACACCCAGGGAAGUUUAAUCCUUCUAAUCAAAUGCCAAACCACCAAAAUUUCCCUUUCAGUGAAUGAUAAAUAGGUUCGCUGCCUGCUGAAACAUUGAGAAUAACUAACGCAAUAAUUGAGAAUAAAUGAUACCCUAUUACUUAUCUGUGCAUCCCUCAAUCCAGUCAAGUUGACAUCAGAAUAAACAACCACACUGAACUAACUUGCAUUUUUGGAAAUGGCACUAUAGAAUCUUACUGAAUGCCUGAGAAAAUGACAGGUCCGUCUUUAUUAUACUUAAUGCAAAAUUCUAUUUUAGAAUUUAGCACAUUACUUUCACUAAUUAUUCAGCCCUCAAGCUCAGGCACAGCGGCCAUGAUCUGUUCACAUGUAUCAGAGUGCUUUGCACAUUUUCAAAGCUUAGUAGCCCUCUAUGAACUGACUGAUUGAAUAAAUGAAUAACUAAAUGAAUGAAUAAAAAAGGGUAAAUUUAGUCAAAGGGAAAAUAACUAUGCAAUGAUAUGUAUGGGUUCAACCAAUUAAAGUAUUAUACAUUCAUUAUUAUUUCCCUAAGCUACCAAGAAAAUCUUAUUUUAUGCAACCAGGUAAGGAACUAUUUAAUAAUUUUUAGUAACUUUCCAAUGUUGAAACAACCAAAUCAGAAUUAUUUUUCUCCUAACCAAUUUAAUAACUUAUUUUUAGCUGAAAGUCUAAAGUUGAAAAUUUGGAAAAUAACAAGUAUGAUUUGAUAAUAUAUUCUUUAUACUUUAUAAUAUAUGAAAAACACUAAUAUAAGCUCUUCAAAUGGUGCCUAAGCAUAUCAAUAAAAGUAAAUCAGCAUGAAAUUUCUAGUUUAAUGUGUAAGCAUAACACUUGAUACUGUAUGUAUUAGAAUCUAUGGUCCUCAAUCCCCUGACCACACUCAUGUUACAAGAAGACUCCAAUUUCGUCCUUCACACUCUUCAGCAAACUGUACAUGAGGACUGAGAUAUUGAGCAAAUCUGUCAGGUAUCUUAAUCAAGUAACUGUAUGACUGGCACAUUACCAAGAAAGGAAAAAUAUAGUCGAGUUGGGACAACUAGAACAGAAAAAAAAAAUCUUAGAACGUGGGCACUAAGAUUUACAAGUUGAGUAUUAACAAUAAAUGUUAAGACAGAAACCAUGAAUGGGCACAGCUGUGGGAGUUAGCAGGUCAAGUACAGGAGGAGCAGUGAGACUGUCAAGAAUAAAGGUUGCUCCUUCAAUGAAACUGACCCUGCAUGAUCUGUCCAUGUUCUCCAGAAGCUGAAGUACAACUAAAAAAAAGAAAGAGGCACAAUAAGAUGAGAAGCAAACAAGCUUAUUUUUAAACAGCUAUAUAUUGAAAAAUAGUGCACAUACCAUACAAUUCGGCCAUUUGAAGUGCCCAAUGCAAUGUUUUUAGUAAAUUCACAGGUAUAAGUAUCAUCAUCAUAAUUAAUUCUAGGAUAGGGUUUCCACCUGCAAAAAUAAAAAAAAAUACCUAGGUAACUUAUAUGUAUCAACCCCUCCUCCCACCCCUAACCCCAGCUCAUCAUGGCACUCAUC